UGGAGCCCCGAACCGGACAUAUUUCUCUGUUAGUUUCUGUUUGAUUUAUUUUACAGUUUAAAUGUAGUACAGUAUCUGAUUUAUUUAUUCUAUAGUUUUGAAUGCAUGAAUCACUGUUUACUUCGUUAUGGCUUGAUUUUGUGAAUCCGAUGAUAUGUUUGCCUUGUUGGACGCUCGUUACUUGUUUAAAGUAUUUAUGUUUAUGUGAGAAACAAAAAACUAAGAAAAAAAUAGAAAAGGUAUAUAAAUUGAUAAAUGGAUAAGUUGACAACCUCACUAGAUAUCCUAGAAGAUGGUGGACAGACCGAGUCCAUAGGGAACCCUACCGGGAACGUUGUCUCAUAUCGGAUGGGGUAUGGAGACUUUAAAUAUUUUGACGCUCAUACCGGACGAGAUAUGAGGACGACCCGUUUCACCCUCAUAUCAGAUGGGGUAUUGAGGUUUAUUAUUUGGCGCCCAUACCGGACGAGGUAUGGGGACGGCCCUGGAAAUUAAGUUUGUUAAGGGAGUGGUUCACGUGUAGCGGGGACCCCUAUGGAUCCCCAUGGAUACUAGUAAGCUGAUAAAAAAGGGCUGUUGUUUGAUGAUUGGAAUAUAAAAGUAUGACAUGUACUACGUUACAAAUUAUGUAUGAACUUAUGAUAUCUAUGAUGUUAUUGUUUCCAUAUGUCGUUUUUAUAAAUCCCACUGAGGUAAGUGGACAGUAAAUGAUUUGAUUAUUGAUAAAUAAAUUUACUUGAAACUUGUGCUCCAUUAGUUGUUUUUGGUUUUCUACCAACCUUUACUUCUGUGACAGUGAUAUAGUGUGAUGUCUUUACUGGACUGGUGUAGCUCAUUCCUUACUUAACUAUUUCAGAUCAGGAGGACUUAGUUCCCGAGCCCGAUCUACAAGAAGACGGCGAGUA
rnacentral:lncRNA from 1 species